rnacentral:rRNA from 1 species
UACAGAGGGUGCAAGCGUUAAUCGGAUUUACUGGGCGUAAAGCGUGCGCAGGCGGUUUUGUAAGACAGAGGUGAAAUCCCCGAGCUUAACCUGGGAACUGCCUUUGUGACUGCAAGGCUUGAGUGCGGCAGAGGGGGAUGGAAUUCCGCGUGUAGCAGUGAAAUGCGUAGAUAUGUGGAGGAACACCGAUGGCGAAGGCAGCCCCCUGGGUCGACACUGACGCUCAGGCACGAAA